GAUGAACGCUGGCGGCGUGCCUAAUACAUGCAAGUCGAGCGAAGCGGUGACGGGUGAGCAACACGUGGAAAACCUCCUAUAUGCCUGGGAUAACUUCGGGAAAAUGGAAAUAUACGCGAAUCUUAUAGAUGGACCUGCGCUGCAUUAGCUAGUUGGUAAGGGAAAGGCUUACUACGGCAACGAUGCAUAGCCGACCGAAGAGGGUGAUCGGCCACACUGGAACUGAGACACGGUCCAGACUCCUACGGGAGGCAGCAGUAGGAAAUCUUCGGAAAUGGGCGAAAGCCUGACGGAGCAACGCCGCGUGGGUGAUGAAGGUCUUCGGAUCGUAAAACUCUGUUAUUAGGGAGGCGGUACCUAAUCAGAAAGCCACGGCUAACUACGUGCCAGCAGCCGCGGUAAUAC
rnacentral:rRNA from 1 species